GUGGUUUCCUGUAGUGUUGUAGAAGGUCAACAACCAUCAAGAUGGAGGAGGUGAGUGGUGUGGUUUCCUGUAGUGUUGUAGAAGGUCAACAACCAUCAAGAUGGAGGAGGAGGAUUCAGAGGAUUUUGAUGAUGCUGUUUGGGGGUCACACCUCCCCAGCAAGCACCCCCCCACGGUCAAGGUCUUCACCCCCCCACUGCUAUGUCAAUCACCCCGUCUGAUGGUUCUUCAUCCACUUAUCACAGACCUCUUGAAAGAAGGAAUGCCACUAGUGAAGUAACAAUCUUUCCUGGCAGAGACGGACUUGCUUCAAAGACUAUCACCACAUGCACAAGCUACGGUGAAAGUGAAAUCUAAUCAUCUACACCUGGGAUGUAAAACAAACACGAAUGCCAUUUGUAAGUUGUUCAGCUUAUUUAUGUUUUUGCAUUUUUUAUUUUUUUUGUGAAUGACGUGUGUGUGUGUGUGUGUGUGUGUGUGUGUGUGUGUGUGUGUGUGUGUGUGACCAAGUUUGUUUGAUAAGACCUUUUUUUUAAACUUUGUUUAUCUGUUGCUUUUUAUAUUGUUUUUGUGAACAGUUCAUUUGUAUGUGGGACCAAUACAUUAGAUAUGCCUAGGCUAAAUGUUCAGGCACUUUGGAGAGUGCCCCUGAAACCACCACAAUGUUUGAGAGACGUUGGUGUUGUAGAAAUUUAGUUUUUAUAGUGAACAAUAGUAGUUAGUUACUAAUCCAGUGUGCAAAAACAGUGCAGUUACCAAAUUCAGACACUUUGGAGAGGUUGAAAGGACACAUGGGGUGUCCAGGGUACAUUCAAAACACCACCACACUGUUUGAGUGAGGUUCAUAUGGUAGAAAUGUUUUAUACUGAACACACAGCAUUUAGGAAUUGCAAAUAUGUAAUAGCACUGGAAUGAUCUAAUUUACAAACAUAUGCCACUUUGGAGAGGUUUAGGGAUACUUGGAUACGUCCCGUGACCACAACUGACACCACUUACUAGAACAUCUGCCCAUUUUGAGUUGUCAGGUCUAUCAAUUCUAUUUUUAUUUUUCUGAUAUUGUUCACAUGUUGUGGAAGCCAUCUGAUGUGUUUCCUGCUCUGGGCAUCAAUAAUUCACUUAUAGCUUGUCAAUGAAAGAUGACUUUCAAAAUAAAUGUUUAAAAAACA